CAAAGUAGAACUUGGUAGUAAGUAUUUCAUUUACACUGAAAAGUGUUUCGUGCAAUUCGAAUUAUUUUGA
rnacentral:tRNA from 1 species